UGAAAACUCCCUUGCUGUCCCAGCAUAAUUUUAUAUGACCUAGAGGGGGCAGCAGCACCACAAGCAACAAUCCCUCCUUCAAGAACCUGUGUACAAAUGUAUACAUAUGUGAAGAAGAAUGAUUGUGCUGGAGAAGGUGUGACAUCAGGUUCUGAUUGGCUGGACAGCUUACUUCUUGAAUCAAAACAAGAAACAUUUAGAACCAAAGAGACUUCUUUAGAACAGAGUACAGAUCCCAAAAGUGAAUUAUUGUUGUUUCUGAAAAACAAAAGAUGGAAAAGUCCCUGGGUGCCUUGUUCUUGAUCUUAUAUCUUCAUCUUGGCUGGGUGAGAUGCCAACAGAAGGUGGAGCAGAGUCCCAGGAACCUGAGGGUGCAGGAGAGAGAGAAUGCAGCUCUCAAUUGCAAUUAUUCAAACAGUGCUUCCACAAACCUGCAGUGGUUCAAGCAGGAUCCCGGGAAAGGCCUCAUCCUCCUCUUUUAUAUCACCUCACAGGGAAAGCAGAAAGGAAGAUUAAGAUCCACAUUUAACAGGCAAGAACGUCACAGCUCCCUGCACAUCUCUGAUGCUCAGCCUGGAGACUCGGGCACCUACUUCUGUGCUGUGGAUCCACAGUGAUUGCCAGUCACCUGCAG